AAACAACUCUUUCUGAAUGUGAUUAUGGUUUGUUGUUUUUGUAUAUAAAAAUUUUAAAGUAGAUUUCAACAGACCUAAUUUGAAAUUGGACCGAUAUUUCGAGUUCUAAUAAACUUUCACAUUCAUCCUUUUUAGUUUCAUUAAUAAUUUAGUUUCUGAUUAAUUACUUAUACUUAUUAUUUAAUGAGUUUUAUUAAAAUUUUACUAAAAGGAAAAUAAUGAAGUUAUAUGUUCCAAACAAAGAGAAAAUUGAUAUAUAGCAUCAUUUUCACAAAUUUGAGGUGAAGUAUUUAGAAAAAAGAGCUUUUCCAUCAUUUUGACCAAAUUUAUGAGCCAUAAUUUCUUUAUAAUCUACAAGAAAAACCAACAAAAAAGGACAAAUAACUACUGAUUAUAAUCUAAUGGACAAUUUACCAAGAAGAUGUGAAAAUAGGCUACGAAUCACACCUUACAAAACCUAUUACCAACAAUAUGUGCCUCAACUGAUGUUUAUAUACCCUGUGUCCUAAGUAAAAUGUACUAGGUGUCACAUUAGAAGUGAAUUUCAGAAAAAUAAAAGAAAUAAAAAGAUAAA